rnacentral:rRNA from 1 species
CCACUACUCUACGGGAGGCAGCAGUGGGGAAUAUUGCACAAUGGGCGCAAGCCUGAUGCAGCGACGCCGCGUGAGGGAUGACGGCCUUCGGGUUGUAAACCUCUUUCAGUAGGGAAGAAGCCCCUUUUGGGGGUGACGGUACUUGCAGAAGAAGCGCCGGCUAACUACGUGCCAGCAGCCGCGGUAAUACGUAGGGCGCAAGCGUUAUCCGGAAUUAUUGGGCGUAAAGAGCUCGUAGGCGGUUUGUCGCGUCUGCUGUGAAAGACCGGGGCUCAACUCCGGUUCUGCAGUGGGUACGGGCAGACUAGAGUGCAGUAGGGGAGACUGGAAUUCCUGGUGUAGCGGUGAAAUGCGCAGAUAUCAGGAGGAACACCGAUGGCGAAGGCAGGUCUCUGGGCUGUAACUGACGCUGAGGAGCGAAAGCAUGGGGAGCGAACAGGAUUAGAUACCCUGGUAGUCCAUGCCGUAAACGUUGGGCACUAGGUGUGGGGGACAUUCCACGUUUUCCGCGCCGUAGCUAACGCAUUAAGUGCCCCGCCUGGGGAGUACGGCCGCAAGGCUAAAACUCAAAGGAAUUGACGGGGGCCCGCACAAGCGGCGGAGCAUGCGGAUUAAUUCGAUGCAACGCGAAGAACCUUACCAAGGCUUGACAUGGACCGGAAAGACCUGGAGACAU